rnacentral:sRNA from 1 species
GCCAGGCACAAUGGCUCACGCCUGUAAUCCUGGCAACUCAGGAGGCUGAGACAGGAGGACCACGAGUUCAAAGUCAGCCUAAGCAAGGCGCUAAGCAACUCAGUGAGACCCUGUCUCUA